rnacentral:rRNA from 1 species
UACGUAGGGGGCAAGCGUUGUCCGGAAUCAUUGGGCGUAAAGCGCGUGUAGGCGGCUCGAUAAGUCUGCUGUGAAAGUUCAGGGCUCAACCCUGAAAUGCCGGUGGAAACUGUCGAGCUAGAGUCCGGAAGAGGCGAGUGGAAUUCCUGGUGUAGCGGUGAAAAUGCGCAGAUAUCAGGAGGAACACCAAUGGCGAAGGCAGCUCGCUGGGACGGUACUGACGCUGAGACGCGAAAGCGUGGGGAGCAAACAGG